UUGAUGAUUAUAAUUUCUUAUCAAAUAAUGAAUCCUAUUCAGAUAUUCGUCUUUAAUAUUAGAAAAUUAUUAAUUUCUGUGGACAUUUGUCAAAAAAUAUUACUUACAGUGGACUACUUUGCGCAUCAAACUGGUUUCCGCUUCAGCUGUGAGGCACUUCCGUUAUACUUUUGACAACAAUAACAAAACACAAAAUGAAUCAAUAAAGUCACUUAUAAACCGACUGCUACUUAAAUCAGUGUAGAAGUCUGAAGAUGCCAGCAAUCUGCUUGCUGAGGCCACUGCUGUUUGGCGUAAGACCCAUAUUCGUAACCUGCCACAACUUCCUAGGAACACACUACCUAAAGUUGGAGGUUCAGACCACAGCCAGCCCAUCAUCCUGCCAACAACUGAAUCUGGUGUACAGACAGAUCCACAAGCACAAGUCAUCGCGGUGGAUGAAGACAUGGAGCACCAGAUUGUGAAUGAAGACUGCGAUGCUGCACAGUUCUUGACAGAUUUUUUUGAUGAAAAUGACUCUGGUUUAGACUCUGGUUUAGAGUUGGAGUACGACUCUGAUUUUUGAUAUGAUCAUUGUGAUGUCACAAAUAAAUUUUUAAGAGA